rnacentral:rRNA from 1 species
CCUACGGGUGGCAGCAGUGAGGAAUAUUGGUCAAUGGCCGGAAGGCUGAACCAGCCAAGCCGCGUGAAGGUCAGUGCUCCAUGGGCGUUAAACUUCUUUUGUGCGGGAGCAAUAAUGGUCACGUGUGGCCAGACGAGAGUACCGUACGAAUAAGCAUCGGCUAACUCCGUGCCAGCAGCCGCGGUUAUACGGGGGAUGCAAGCGUUAUCCGUAUUUAUUGGGUUUAAAGGGUGCGUAGGGUGGGAGGUAAGUCAGCGGUGAAAUGCCCCGGGUCAACGGGGUGAAGUGCCAUUGAUACUGCCUUGCUGGAAUGCGGAUGACGUGGGAGGAAUGGGUGGUGUAGCGGUGAAAUGCAUAGAUAUCACACAGAACACCGAUUGCGAAGGCAGCUCACGAAUCCGCGAUUGACGCUGAUGCACGAAAGCGUGGGUAUCAAACAGGAUUAGAUACCCGUGUAGUC